CGAUGACAACUAGCCGUUGGGAGGGUUUACCUCUUAGUGGCGAAGCUAACGCGUUAAGUUGUCCGCCUGGGGAGUACGGCCGCAAGGUUAAAACUCAAAGGAAUUGACGGGGACCCGCACAAGCGGUGGAGCAUGUGGUUUAAUUCGAUGCAACGCGAAGAACCUUACCUGGUCUUGACAUACACGGAACUUUCCAGAGAUGGAUUGGUGCCUUCGGGAACCGUGAUACAGGUGCUGCAUGGCUGUCGUCAGCUCGUGUCGUGAGAUGUUGGGUUAAGUCCCGUAACGAGCGCAACCCCUAUCCUUAUUUGCCAGCACGUCAUGGUGGGAACUAUAAGGAGACUGCCGGUGAUAAACCGGAGGAAGGCGGGGACGACGUCAAGUCAUCAUGGCCCUUACGACCAGGGCUACACACGUGCUACAAUGGGAAGGACAAAGGGUUGCUAAGCCGCGAGGUGGUGCUAAUCUCAUAAACCUUUUCGUAGUCCGGAUCGGAGUCUGCAACUCGACUCCGUGAAGUCGGAAUCGCUAGUAAUCGUGGAUCAGAAUGCCACGGUGAAUACGUUCCCGGGUCUUGUACACACCGCCCGUCAUACCAUGGGAGUGGGUUGCACCAGAAGUAGCUAGUCUAACUGUUUACAGGGGACGGUUACCACGGUGUGAUUCAUGACUGGGGUAAAGUCGUAACAAGGUAACC
rnacentral:rRNA from 1 species